UUCGUCGACGGAGGUGCUCCUCUAUUUAUAGGCGAGGAGGUCCGGUCGACGGAGCUUCGACCGGCGGUCCCCUUCGCACGCCGAGCGGUUCUCCUUGGCUGGACCGGCGUCCCAUCCGAGCUUAUCCAGCGAAGCGUGCUCGGCAUUGAUGGCGCCCGAGAUCUUAUCCUCUCCGGCCGACGUCGGCCUACUCCCCUCGGCCGUAGGCCGUCCUUUGCGCGCGUCGUCAUCUUCUGCGCGUG
rnacentral:lncRNA from 1 species